rnacentral:rRNA from 1 species
GACAGAGGGGGCAAGCGUUGCUCGGAAUUACUGGGCGUAAAGGGCGCGUAGGCGGGAUGGCAAGUCGGUCGUGAAAUCCCUCGGCUCAACCGAGGAACGUCGAUCGAUACUGCUGUUCUUGAGGAUUGCAGAGGAGACUGGAAUUCCCGGUGUAGCGGUGAAAUGUGUAGAGAUCGGGAGGAACACCAGCGGCGAAGGCGGCGACCUGGACAAGUACUGACACUCAACUACGAAAGCGUGGGUAGCAAACAGG